rnacentral:rRNA from 1 species
UACGUAGGGCGCAAGCGUUAAUCGGAAUUACUGGGCGUAAAGCGUGCGCAGGCGGUUUUGUAAGUCUGACGUGAAAUCCCCGGGCUCAACCUGGGAAUUGCAUUGGAGACUGCAAGGCUAGAAUCUGGCAGAGGGGGGUAGAAUUCCACGUGUAGCAGUGAAAUGCGUAGAGAUGUGGAGGAACACCGAUGGCGAAGGCAGCCCCCUGGGUCAAGAUUGACGCUCAUGCACGAAAGCGUGGGGAGCAAACAGG